AGAUUAAUAUUUUUGUAGAACUCU
rnacentral:sRNA from 1 species